ensembl:lncRNA INTS6-AS1 INTS6 antisense RNA 1
GCCCGCGGGCCGCCGGGCCGGGGUCGCCGCCCGGGCUCGGUCAGUCGGUACCUUCAUGAAGGUCUCUACCGCGCCUUUGGCCGUGUCCAGGAAAGGCCUUGUGAGGACAUAACCAGGAAGAGAGUCCUCACCAGAACCUGACCAUACCUGCACCCUGAUCUCAAGCUUCCAGCUUCCAGAACCAUGAGAAAUCAAUGUUUGUUGUUUUAGCCACCCAGUCUACAGAAAUUUGUUAUAGCCACCCUAGCUGACUACCACAUUGGACAUCACAGCAAACACUACAACCACAAGUCCAGUUGGCUCCACAAGCUUGAGCUCACCAUUUCUCACCAGCUCCACCGCUACCUCCAAAUAAAAGAAAUGGCUGAAAUCCUUUGGAACCAAUAUGACCAACUGGAGUCGGUGCAGAAGGAGCUUGCUGACAACGCAGCCUGAAUUUCCACCCUAUGUUUCAUACCAACUCCCCCUGAAUUUGCACAUGUGAUACAUGAGAUAGCAUGAAGAGAUAACUGAGCAUGCCCAAGGACUUUCCAGACUUCUGCUUUCCUUCCACCAAUCACCUGCUAAUCUCAGAAUCCACCCCCUGAAACUUUUCUAAUAAAAAUACUGUUUUGAAGGCAGCACAGGGAGACAGAUUUGAGCUUGACUUCUGUCUCCUUGGGAUUGACUUUCAGUACAAAGCUUUUCUUUUCUCAAGAACAUGGUGUCAUAGUAUGGGCUUCUAGUGCAUUGGACAGUGAGCCCCUUUUACUCGAUAACAAUAUCAGCUAUAUUUUUCUCCCUCUUUCACUGUGGACUAAGCAUUCAGCUUCCUCUUAUUAAUCCCAUAAAAUCCUAUACCAUUUGCGAGAUUUGCUUUAUGCAUAUUAGCAAUACAGUACAAAUAUAGUGUGUUUGAUUUGCACUGUAGUUGUAUUGUAUUGCCACUCUGUAUAAAAAUCCAAUCAUCAGCUAGAUACCUACCUAACAAAAAAGUUGCUCCUAGAAGGAAGGAAGCAAAGCUAAUGUUUAGUGGAUAUGACUGAGUGGCUUUUAUAAGCAGUCAUUUGAUAAAUAAACGUUUCUAGGUUAUGAUGACUUUUAGUCUCCUAUACUGCUUCAGACUUCAGGGACUCAGAUAAUGAAUGCUGAGAUAAUGUGGAUGUUUUAUCAUUCUGUAGCAUGGUGAUCAGGGAUUCCAGAAACAUAAAGGUAAAGUUCUAACCUUAUAAAGAAACGACAUGGUCAGUGAAAGAGCACUGGGCUGGAAAUUACAAGUCCCAGGUCCCAAUGCAGAAUCUGCCACUAAGUAAGCUGUGAGGGCUUAGGCAAGCCAUUUCACUUUUCUCUGGCUCAUUUUAUUUGCAUGAAAAGAAAGAAAAAGGAAUUCAUUGUGAUUCUGAACCUUUUCACUCCCCAAGGAUCCCCUUUAUUCCUCCCCCCAUUUUCAUAUGUUGAGAAAUUGUGUCUACUAAAAUAUAUUCAUUAGUAGUUUGUUCAUGUUCUCAUGUUCAUUGUUUAUUAUUAAUAUAGUCAUGUUCAUUGUUAAUUUAUCAAAAAUAUAUAUAUAUAAUUUCCAAUUCAGCUUAGCAUUACAAAAUUGAUUGACAUUGAUUGAGUUGAUGUAAUACCCUCCAAAGCAAAGAAACCAGAUUAAUUUGUCUGGGUGGUUAAUCUUAAUUCCUAAGAGUUAAGAGGCUGCAGGUUGGGACUGUCUGCAUCCAGUUGACUAUAAGUUUUUUGUUUUGUUUUGUUUUUACAAGUCUGAGAGUCAAUGCUAUUUAUAUUUGUAUUUCUAUUCAGUCCAGUGCUUGGACAAAUGGUACCUCAGAGGGUCCUGUGGGUUCAGCAAAGCAGCUCAGGAGCAGAAAUGGGGGUGGGAAAAGAGGAGUCUUAGGGCCCCAAAACCUAUUUCAUCUACAGCAGCCUCACUUUUUUCUGCUUUAAAUGCUAGAUUCUGCUUAAGAUUUUCUUUUUCUUUUCCUUUUUUUUUGAGACAGAGUCUUGCUCAAUUGCCUAGGCUGGAGUGCAGUGAUGCUAUCUUGGCUCACUACAACUUCCCCUUCUUGGGUUCAAGUGAUUCUCCUGCCUCAGUCUCCCGAUUAGCUGGGAUUACAGAUGUGUGCCACCACCCCCAGCUGAUUUUUGUAUUUUUAAUAGAGACAGGUUUUCACAAUGUUAGCCAGGCUGAUCUCGAACUCCUGGCCUCAAGUGAUGUGCCUGCCUCAGCCUCCCAGAGUGCUGGGAUUACAGGCGUGAGCCACCACACCUGGCCUUAAGAUUUGCUUUGAAGAAAGCGUUUAAACCAUAAAAAUAAUUUGAAAAAUAUGACUUAAUCAAACUCAAUUAUAUAGAUGAGAAUAAUGAGGCAUAGAAAAAUUAAAUGAAACUGGCCCAAGGUUAUAGAGCUAAUUAAUGGCAAAAUACUCAUUCAGUCAAUCAACAAAUAUUUAUUGAACACUGUAGAAAUAAAAAUUGUAAAGCUAAAGCUUUGAUUUGUUCUUAGUUUAAAAACAAUCUGUGAGUCACUGUAUUGGAUUAGAAGCAUUAGGAUGAAAGAAUCUUGUUUUCAUAAAUUGGUGGAGAACUGACAUUAUCGUGUAUGUUACUAUUGUUCAAUAAGACAAGGAAGAGAGGGCAGGGGCAUAUUAGCAUUCAGGUGACCACAGGAGGUUGGGGACAGGUCAGGUUUGGUAAAGGGCUUGUUUCAAUUUAAAUCUAUGGUGGCUCAGGCUCUGAUUGUCAUACUAGUGCUCUCAUUAAUGUGCACAGGGAAGGAGCCAAGAACCCCACUUGACCCAAGAUUAACAUUAAGGUUUUGUUUCAUUUCCCAGAUUAAAUAUGUGAUUAGCACCAAACCUGGAAAAACCCGUGGCUAUAGGAUAUGUGUAAUUUAAUCUAUAAAAUGUAUUUGUAAAAGCCAAUUCAUUGUACAUGUUCAACUUAAUAAGUUCACUGGCAUUAUGAU